UGUGAGCUCGAUGAGUAGGGCGGGACACGUGGUAUCCUGUCUGAAUAUGGGGGGACCAUCCUCCAAGGCUAAAUACUCCUGACUGACCGAUAGUGAACCAGUACCGUGAGGGAAAGGCGAAAAGAACCCCGGCGAGGGGAGUGAAAAAGAACCUGAAACCGUGUACGUACAAGCAGUGGGAGCACGCUUCGGCGUGUGACUGCGUACCUUUUGUAUAAUGGGUCAGCGACUUAUAUUCUGUAGCAAGGUUAACCGAAUAGGGGAGCCGAAGGGAAACCGAGUCUUAACUGGGCGUUAAGUUGCAGGGUAUAGACCCGAAACCCGGUGAUCUAGCCAUGGGCAGGUUGAAGGUUGGGUAACACUAACUGGAGGACCGAACCGACUAAUGUUGAAAAAUUAGCGGAUGACUUGUGGCUGGGGGUGAAAGGCCAAUCAAACCGGGAGAUAGCUGGUUCUCCCCGAAAGCUAUUUAGGUAGCGCCUCGUGAAUUCAUCUCCGGGGGUAGAGCACUGUUUCGGCAAGGGGGUCAUCCCGACUUACCAACCCGAUGCAAACUGCGAAUACCGGAGAAUGUUAUCACGGGAGACACACGGCGGGUGCUAACGUCCGUCGUGAAGAGGGAAACAACCCAGACCGCCAGCUAAGGUCCCAAAGUCAUGGUUAAGUGGGAAACGAUGUGGGAAGGCCCAGACAGCCAGGAUGUUGGCUUAGAAGCAGCCAUCAUUUAAAGAAAGCGUAAUAGCUCACUGGUCGAGUCGGCCUGCGCGGAAGAUGUAACGGGGCUAAACCAUGCACCGAAGCUGCGGCAGCGACGCU
rnacentral:rRNA from 1 species